CGGAAACAUGGAUCACCACAGAUAACACUGCUACUCCUACUGCUCUCUCCUCGUCUGACUACGUGUUCUCGCAUACCCCUAGAGCAUCGAGCCAGCGGGGUGGUGGCACUGGAAUCCUCAUCUCUCCCAAGUGGACAUUCUCUCUUUCUCCCCUGACCCAUCUGUCUAUCUCCUCAUUUGAAUUCCAUGCUGUCACAGUUACCAGCCCUUUCAAGCUUAACAUCCUUAUCAUUUAUCGCCCUCCAGGUUCCCUUGGAGAGUUCAUCAAUGAGCUUGACGCCUUGAUAAGUUCCUUUCCUGAGGAUGGCUCACCUCUCACAGUUCUGGACCAUUUCCGGAGACCUUCUCCCCUACCUCACCUCGCUCAUCAACGCAUCCUUGACCGCUGUCUACGUCCCUUCCGUCUUCAAGAGAGCGAGAGUUGCACCCCUUCUGAAAAAACCUACACUCGAUCCCUCCGAUGUCAACAACUACAGACCUAUCUGCUGCCUUUGAUACCGUGAACCAUCAGAUCCUCCUCUCCACCCUCUCCGAGCUGGGCAUCUCCGGCACCGCGCACGCUUGGAUUGCGUCCUACCUGACAGGUCGCUCCUACCAGGUGGCGUGGCGAGAAUCUGUCUCCGCACCACGUGCUCUCACCACUGGUGUCCCC
rnacentral:lncRNA from 1 species